UACAUNGCAAGUCGAGCGGACUUGCUGGAGCUUGCUCCAGCAGGUUAGCGGCGGACGGGUGAGUAACACGUGGGCAACCUGCCUGUAAGACUGGGAUAACUCCGGGAAACCGGAGCUAAUACCGGAUAGUAUCUUGAACCGCAUGGUUCAAGUUGGAAAGACGGUUUCGGCUGUCACUUACAGAUGGGCCCGCGGCGCAUUAGCUAGUUGGUGAGGUAAUGGCUCACCAAGGCAACGAUGCGUAGCCGACCUGAGAGGGUGAUCGGCCACACUGGGACUGAGACACGGCCCAGACUCCUACGGGAGGCAGCAGUAGGGAAUCUUCCGCAAUGGACGAAAGUCUGACGGAGCAACGCCGCGUGAGUGAUGAAGGUUUUCGGAUCGUAAAACUCUGUUGUUAGGGAAGAACAAGUGCGAGAGUAACUGCUCGCACCUUGACGGUACCUAACCAGAAAGCCACGGCUAACUACGUGCCAGCAGCCGCGGUAAUACGUAGGUGGCAAGCGUUGUCCGGAAUUAUUGGGCGUAAAGCGCGCGCAGGCGGUUUCUUAAGUCUGAUGUGAAAGCCNNNNNCUCNNNCGGGGAGGGUCAUUGGAAACUGGGAAACUUGAGUGCAGAAGAGGAGAGUGGAAUUNNNCNUGUAGCGGUGAAAUGCGUAGAGAUGUGGAGGAACNNCNNUGGCGAAGGCGACUCUCUGGUCUGUAACUGACGCUGAGGCGCGAAAGCGUGGGGAGCGAACAGGAUUAGAUACC
rnacentral:rRNA from 1 species